rnacentral:rRNA from 1 species
GACGUAGGGCGCGAGCGUUGUCCGGAUUUAUUGGGCGUAAAGAGCUCGUAGGCGGUUUGUCACGUCUGCUGUGAAAACUGGAGGCUCAACCUCCAGCCUGCAGUGGGUACGGGCAGACUAGAGUCCGGUAGGGGAGCGUGGAAUUCCUGGUGUAGCGGUGAAGUGCGCAGAUAUCAGGAGGAACACCAAUUGCGAAGGCAGCUCACUGGCCCGGUACUGACGCUGAGGUGCGAAAGCGUGGGGAGCAAACAGG